rnacentral:rRNA from 1 species
GUUUAGGGCUAUUCGAAAGGAGUGCGGGUAAUAGGUUAUAACCAGCGCUCCAG